rfam:Gossypium arboreum cultivar AKA8401 contig_60659_3, whole genome shotgun sequence.
AACCCAUGAUGAGGGCACCUUCUUAGUAGAUCCUUGUAUCUCUCCCAUGCAUCAUAGAGUGUUUCUAAAUCCAUCUGCACAAAAGAAGAAAUGUCAUCCCUUAGUUU